AAGGAUGUCUAAAAGAGAACAGGAAUCUACCUGGAUAAGAUGCAAACCAUCCUAGCCAUGCCUCAAAUUUAUAUUGUGCUCGAACCAAUCCCUUUUUAGCGUGUGUGCUCAGCGGUUCACCCAUACUGCCAAGCAAACGAAGCGGUGCAACUGUCAAAACAUGCGCGCUUUUCUCGUCACCCUCGCGGCUUCGCCAUGUUUUUUCACCAGUCCAGUUGACUGCCCUUUGGUCCGGUCGUGACAAAAAUUCCCCAAGCCCUCGGUAUCAAGCAGCCCUGACCGUUCUGACCGAGUCGUACUCCUGAUUCGCCUGAUUCGGAGUUUCGGCGCCGGUUGGCUGGUGGUUCGCCUUUUGCGGAAACGAUGACGCGGUUUCGGGUUUACGACGCCAGGCAUAUUCUUGUUCAGUAAUGUUCAUGGUAAAAAUGAUUUCGAGGCGAGAUGGACCGUCUGGCAACUGGCUAAUGACAUCACAAAGAAUCAUCGAUUGUAUUUAACAAGAAAUAGCGACUGAAUUCCAGAUUCCUUUUUAAAUUGGCCGCUUCUCCAAUCUCAGGACCGGGAAGCAGAGGCCGUUUGGAUGGCCAAUCUUUUGAUAAGAUGUCAAUCACCCCACAAUGCUGCCGAUUCCAUCUUCUGCCAGUCGUCGAUUCCAGCGAGUCGACCAGUUAUUCUUUCACAUAAUUAUUUAUAUUAUAAAUUGUUUUAUAUAAUAUUCAAAUGGAAAUAAAAAAUAUAUACUAUAGUAUACAUUUAUAAAUGUUUCCCAAAAUAACCUAAAACAAAUCAUGAAAAAUAUAAAAGAAUAGAAAGAAGAAGAAGAAUCACUAGGUACCCACAUCUACACCAUAUCUAGCAAAAAUCUAGAAGACAUGUGAUACUUUUGUCUAUUAGAUAUCUCUACGUUAUCUAAGAGAACCGAUAUGUCAAAGC